GUGGGGAAUUUUGGACAAUGGGCGAAAGCCUGAUCCAGCAAUGCCGCGUGCAGGAAGAAGGCCUUCGGGUUGUAAACUGCUUUUGUACGGAACGAAACGGUCCGGGUUAAUACCCUGGGCUAAUGACGGUACCGUAAGAAUAAGCACCGGCUAACUACGUGCCAGCAGCCGCGGUAAUACGUAGGGUGCAAGCGUUAAUCGGAAUUACUGGGCGUAAAGCGUGCGCAGGCGGUUUUGUAAGACAGGCGUGAAAUCCCCGGGCUCAACCUGGGAAUUGCGCUUGUGACUGCAAGGCUGGAGUGCGGCAGAGGGGGAUGGAAUUCCGCGUGUAGCAGUGAAAUGCGUAGAUAUGCGGAGGAACACCGAUGGCGAAGGCAAUCCCCUGGGCCUGCACUGACGCUCAUGCACGAAAGCGUGGGGAGCAAACAGGAUUAGAAACCCCGGUAGUCC
rnacentral:rRNA from 1 species